rnacentral:hammerhead_ribozyme from 1 species
AAGCGAAACGUCCUGGCGUGAGCCGGGGCGUCUGUCGGGCGUGGUGGCCCGGCACUGAUGAGCAGCCAAAC